rnacentral:rRNA from 1 species
GACGUAGGGCGCGAGCGUUGUCCGGAUUUAUUGGGCGUAAAGAGCUCGUAGGCGGCUCAUCGCGUCUGCCGUGAAAACCUGUGGCUCAACUACAGGCUUGCGGUUGAUACGGGUGGGCUGGAGUUCGGUAGGGGAGACUGGAAUUCCUGGUGUAGCGGUGAAAUGCGCAGAUAUCAGGAGGAACACCAAUGGCGAAGGCAGCUCGCUGGAACGGUACUGACGCUGAGGCGCGAAAGCGUGGGGAGCGAACAGG